AACGAAUACACGCGCUCAGCAAGACAAUGCGGUACUCUAGACAGAAAAGAAUAUAAAUUGCUUGUAUGUUAAUACGGAAAGGGUUUUUUUUGUUUCUUUACGUUAGUUUGUACACGCGUGUGUUCAUUUGUGUGUAAAUUAACAUUUGUAUAGUUGUAAAGUGUGUUUGCAAUAAGAGUAAAUGUAAAAUAUUAAUAUUUGUACAUGCGUGUGUACAUAAUGUUCUUUGGUUGAUUUUGUAAUUUGAAUUUGUUGCAUUUUAAAAAUUUGUAUCCCCUGCCCCUGGUGUUCACAUAUAUCGGGAAACGAGUACGCCGAUGAGCUAGUGAGUGUAUCUAAAAUCGGUUUUUAUGGAAAACUGGACUAUAGAUAUGGAGGCUCAUUUCGCCAAAACUCUUGUAAAAUGAAUGUGUUUACCGGCUCUAGAAAAAGACACCAAAACGAUUGUUGGUAUAUAUACAGAUGAAAAUGAACAGAAUAAGGCAGUUAAAGAAGAAGCCUUAUUCUCUUACAUUAGAGAGAUUUUGUUGUUGAAUGUAGAAUGCAGAAUAAUGUGCUGUCAUCAACCAAAAUAAUGA